UAGGGAAUCUUCGGCAAUGGGGGGAACCCUGACCGAGCAACGCCGCGUGAGUGAAGAAGGUUUUCGGAUCGUAAAGCUCUGUUGUUAAGGAAGAACGAGUUUGAGAAUUGAAAGUUCAUGCUGUUACGGUACUUAACCAGAAAGGGACGGCUAUCUACGUUCCAGCAGCCGCGGUAAUACGUAGUUCCCGAGCGUUGUCCGGAUUUAUUGGGCGUAAAGCGAGCGCAGGCGGUUAGAAAAGUCUGAAGUGAAAGGCAGUGGCUCAACCAUUGUAGGCUUUGGAAACUGAUUAACUUGAGUGCAGAAGGGGAGAGUGGAAUUCCAGGUGUAGCGGUGAAAUGCGUAGAUAUAUGGAGGAACACCGGUGGCGAAAGCGGCUCUCUGGUCUGUAACUGACGCUGAGGCUCGAAAGCGUGGGGAGCGAACAGG
rnacentral:rRNA from 1 species